CACGCCGUAAACGAUGAUUACUAGGUGUCGGGAAGCAAAGCUUUUCGGUGCCGCAGCCAACGCAAUAAGUAAUCCACCUGGGGAGUACGUUCGCAAGAAUGAAACUCAAAGGAAUUGACG
rnacentral:rRNA from 1 species